CUGAUGUUCUUGCCCAGACUGUAAAACUGAAGCAACUUUUAUUUUAGACAGAUCUUUAUUGUUAUUGUGCUCAGAGUACAAUUGAAAUCUGUUUAUAGCAGAUCUUCAGCAGUGUGCAUAAAUGUUAGAUAAACAGAGGAUGAGAACAAAUGUAACUGUGAAUCCAGAAACAUGAUUGGAUAAUGUAGCAGGACUCAGGACACACCACAAAAUCACCCCGACACCACAGCUCUCUUUGGAUCUUUGUUUUACUGAGUGAGUCUGUAAUGACACAAUAUGUGACAGGGACUGCAUCAGUUCCACAAACCCUCUUCUCAGACUACUGUGAGGGAUACAUAUGUGGGAAACCAGCUGAUUUGUGCAUGUAUUCAUGUGACCUGUUGCCAAUCAGGAAGUGACUAAAAAGCUCACCAGGAUCAGUCAUUAGUCCCUUACCUCUCACUGAGCGCAUUGCGCUGUGUGGAUUCUCCUGUUGUGCAGGGUGGUAGCCAGGCGCAAGUUCCCAUCCUUCACAGAGUGAACUGGAGCAAAUUGAAGCUUGAUCCUGUACAAGGCUGGGUCCGUGUCAACACACUGCCUCCUCGUGGUGAGACUGCACUGGGUGACACUCUGUUGCGGUGUGUAUGUAGCCUCGACACUGUAGAUUUUGUAGUGACUUGCAUGAUAUUUUGUAGUGAAUCUUGCAUGAUAUUUUGUAGUGAAUCUUGCAUGAUAUUUUGUAGUGACUUGCAUGAUAUUUUGUAGUGAAUCUUGCAUGAUAUUUUGUAGUGAAUUGUGUAGAAAUAAGUGUGUAGUGAAUGUCCUUGUUGGUGCUGGGCCUUCUGUCUCCUCUUUCUGUCUCCCACAGUCGUCUCCCGGAGUGGUGUGCGCGUGCUGACCCAACCUUCCUACUUUGAGGAGAGUAAGACCACAUGUAUCUGCCAUCUAAUUUAUUAUUUUAUUAAUAU